AGAAGUGCCAAAUGACGAUGAUGACUACGAAGACGACUUUGCGAGCCAAAGCCAGAGUCAGAGCGGCGCCCACUCUGUGAGUGAGGAGAUAGAAGAGGAAAUCUCCAUCGAGGCAGACGACUUACUCAACGAUAGCCAGGAAAAGUUUGAUGACUUGACAGAGGACAGAACAGUAUCGCAGGCCAGCGUUGGCGGGUUUGACUAUGCUGAGGACGUCCAACUGUCAUUAACACCUUAGUAAUGGUUUAUCGGACCAGUGGUACAGUUAACGCUAGUUCACCUUUAUCCGUUGGGUAACCUAUAUCCGUUGCUUUUA